UACGUAGGAGACGAGCGUUGUCCGGCGUUACUGGGCGUAAAGGGUGCGCAGGCGGCCUGGCGCGUCGCGAGUGAAAUCUCCUGGCUCAACCUGGAGACGCCACCCGAUACUGCUGUGACUCGAGUCCGGUAGGGGAGCGUGGAAUUCCUGGUGUAGCGGUGAAAUGCGCAGAUAUCAGGAGGAACACCAGCGGCGAAGGCGGCGCUCUGGGCCGGAACUGACGCUGAGGAGCGAAAGCGUGGGGAGCGAACAGG
rnacentral:rRNA from 1 species